rnacentral:lncRNA from 1 species
AGGGGAACGAGCUUUGUUUAUAGCACAAGUGAAACUCCACUUUAUUGAACGAUGGGGUCUCAAAUGGGCUGCCUCUUUGCCACUCUUUUGGUAGUAUCAGUCUCUCUUAGCUACUUGCCGAUAGAAGCCUCCGCAAACAAAUACUACUACACAUCUCCUCCCCCUCCCAAGUACAAGUCUCCACCACCACCCCCGCCACCGGUUCACAAUUCUCCACCACCACCCCCGGUUUACCUGCCCCCGCCACCUCCUCCACCAGUCUACGUGCCUGCUCCGGCACCAACUCCAAUUUUCCCUUCUCCGCCACCUCCUGUCCCCAAGUCCCCACCACCACCUCACCCUUACGUCUAUGCAUCUCCCCCUCCUCCUUACUACUACUAGAAAGCGGCCAUGAAUAGCUCAUGCUUUUAUGGUAAUCUCAUUUAUUUUUAAAACUGUACAUGUAAAGACUAGUAGUUCAGAAUUACAUUAAGCAUUUCAAUUUUAAGCACCGUGUUCUGUUUAAUUGCGUUCCUAUUGAUUAAGUGACAAAUAAAAGAGAUUGAUUAAUUUGUUCUUGUAGGAGAGGCGAAUGGUAUCCGAAUAAAGAAAGCAAGGGUUUGAUGGAAGGCUUACUUGGAGCAAGAUAGCGAUCAAUCGAGUUGCUGCGUUUUAUUCUCUUUUCUCUUUGUUUUUUAAGAAAAAUAAACUGCCACACGUAGAAACAGAAAAUUAAGUUCUUGUCAUUUUCAUGCAUGUGGAUUGUUGCUUUGUGUGUCAAUCAAAUCUCCGUUGUGUCAUUUGUAAUUUUCAACCUUUAUGCAUGCAAAUGCGAGACCUCUUACGUAUAAUAAAAUUAAUAUACUUCCCAAGAUGGUCUUAUCUUGCGUUGACUUUUUACGUUCCUUUGGUGAUGAUUUUAACGUUUGAAAUUGAUGAGUAUUGUUUUUGUAAACUCUGACAUGGAUUUUUCGUGCAACUAAAGAGCGCAUUAAUGAGAGACUUAUCCAUGAGGGUCCAUGCAUAUCAGUGUCUAAUUAACCAAUAAUUAAUAUAACUUAAAAAAUAUAGAGUUAACAAUUUUUAUGGGUCAGGCUCAAUUGCAGAUGUUCGUACAAAAUUUCUUGCUAAUGUAUACUUGAGUAUGAUAAUAAGUUUUAAUCAUUAUUAAUAAUUCACUUGACAAUAUUAAACAAAUUUUCAUAUCAAUUAAGUUACAAAAUUUCUGUGACAAAUUUCCACGUACUGGAACCAUGCAAAAGGACUUUAUUCAAACAAAGCUGCAUAGCCGUUGGCAAUUAAAAUUAUUUAUCAAUUAAGUUAAGUAGUAAGAAUUGGAUUGUGGAUUCCAUUAAUUAUUUCAAGGAAAAUUUUAUAGAUAAUGCCGUAAUGAAAUUUACGGCAUCAAUACCAUGAUAAAUAUAAAUAUUGUAAAUUACAAAGAGAAUUAGUAAAGGUAAAGUAAAACCAGUAAAUUCAUAAAAGAUUAUUAAUUAUUUAAAAAAUUAACAUUGUUUCUACAUAAUUUUAGUGAAAAAUAUUUUAUUCAUUUACAAAAACAUUUCUUUAAUUAAACAAAAAAAAUUCAUUAAUUAAGCAAAAAAAUUAUACUGAAAAAAAAAAGUGGAAUAAGUUUAAUUGAAUUGGUUAUCAUAAAUUCUAUAUUUAGUCUAGGACAUUUGUAUACAUUUUUUUUCCCAUUUUCGAUAAUGAUAUCUAUUUGUUACACAUGUUAAUUAAGUGCAAUUAUUUAUCUUGAUGUGGACCAAGUAAAAAAAAAAAAAAAAAAAGAGAUAUCAAUAAAAUUAGAUCUAGUUUUGAAUAUUAUGUAUACUUUAUGUAGUUUCAAACUUUUUACUUGUAUUUGGAGACCAUUUAAGGUUGUUGUUGAAGAAGUGUAGAAAGAUGUAAAAUAACUUCAUCUUACAACAACUAUGAAAGAUAUUAAAAUAAUAUUUUUUUCAAAAUCCGAUUUUGAGAAAAAAUUUCAUCCUUAAUUAAACAUCACAUGUAUUAUAGAAAUGAAAAACUACCAUUGUUAUAUUUAAAUUAAAAAAUAAUAAAUAUAUAAGGUAAUAAACAUUAUAACGAGUUUUUAUUUUAAAAUUGUAAACUUUUGUUUCUGACAAUAACUCUUAUAUUAAUUAAUUUAUUUUGCAUUUUAUUCAUAAGUUUUAUGCAUAAUCUACAAACUUUAUGUUUUAUUUUGCAUUUAAUGUUGAUUUGGUUUUUUUAUAUUAUACGUAUAAGUUUUCAUUUUAUUUACCAGUAAUACAUCAAUUUAUCAGUUUUAUUGUAAUUUACUUAUUUUACCUUCCUUUUACAAUUCUUAUGUUUCAUUUUCAAAAUUUAUGUUUUAUUUUACAGUUGUUGAUGAUUUACUAGUUUUAUGUUAUGUUUGCAAGUUUUUGUUUUGUUUACUAGUAAUAGAUUAAUGGGUAAUUUUUAAUUGAGUCCUCAUUAGUUCUAGAAAAAAAAUUCAGAGACCAGAAGUUUACUAAAUGAAUCAAUUAAAUUCUUUCAAGUACAAACUAAUGUCAUUCAAGUCCUUAACUUAAUUGCUCAGUUAAAAAUAUUAACAACAUUGAGGACAUUUUAGUAAAACCACAAUUGAGUCGUUUCUCAUUCUUUAUUUUUGACAGGUGGAAAUAGUUUAAAGUUAACUCAAUUAACCUGAUUAAGUUAAGGAUCAGUUCUUUCAAAAGAACAAAAAAAAGACCUACAGAAACUGCCAUAUUCUUCGUGUGAGAGGAGAGAUCGAGAGAACGUGGGAUGGUGCAAAAAAUGUUGUAUAAAUCUACUGUGAUUUUGACCAAAGCUUUGGUAGCAUUGAUUGAGUUCAAGUACUGGAGAGAACCUGAGUUUAAAGGUUAGUAACUCUAUUUUUUUAGUGAUUUCCGCAAGCAUUUUCUGAUAAAAAAAUUUUCCAUAUUGAGUGAUCGUUGUGAAAAAUUAAGUUUUUCAAGUCUAUUUUUGAAAAUGACAAACUAUGUUUAAUUAUUGGUGGAUUCUUUUUUUGUUCAAUAUUGUAUUUUGUUAAUUUGUUGUUUUUAAUUUGCUCUUUAUGUAAUUGUUAGACCAAAUACACCAUUAUUAUACUUGUAUUCAUUUCAACAAUUUGGUAUCAUUAUAUUAAUAAGAUUGAAUUCAUUGUAUUUGCUUCUUUGUUCAUGUAAAAUUGAAUUCUAUGUAUUCUUAUGAGUGAUAAUUUUUCUAUCUAUUAGACUAAAUUCACUAUAUUCACUACUUUCUUUCUUUUUGCUGGGCUAUUUUUUCUUUUUAGUUUAUAUUUUUUAUAUGUAUUAGAUUGAAUUUGCUUUUGUAUGUUUUUUUCGCCAAAUUGCAUGUAUAUUUCAUUUAGGUUGAGUUUUUUUUGUUGUUUGCUAAAUAAAAGUAUAUUGGUUUAUCCUUUUUUGAGGCAAUACUUUUGUUUAAAAUUAAUACAGGUAGCCAUGUUACCUUUUUUUCGGUUAAAAUUAAUGGGGUGAUGUAUGCGAUAGGAUAUAGGGAACCAGAGGAAUAUAAGAUUAUUAGGCUGUUUCUUGAAAUUCAAGAUGUCAUGGUUAAGCAUGGACACAUUGAAAUGGAUUUGAUUGAAAUUUUUGUUGUAUUGCCAUGGACUACAAGUAGGCAGAGGAAGCUAAUUUCAAACGAUAGUGAAUUGUAUUGGGUUUUCGAGGAGUUUUUUUUAUCAAUAGUUGUCCUGUCAUUGAGUUUGAGGUGCACACUGGGUCAGGUGGUCAGUCAUUUCAUGAAAGUGUUGUAAUAGGACCUGAAAAUCCUGUCAAUAUUAAAAAUUAGCGUUGUAAUAGUGAUAAGUUUGAAAAUCCUGUGGCUAAAAAGGGUUUGCCUAGAAUAAUUGGUUCUUCUUUAUUUGCCUCAAAGUCCAACACUAUGAAAUCCACUAGGAAAAAGAAUUUUAUCCACUUUAACCAGCACGUCUUCAAUCUUACCUUCAGGAUAAGCAUGAGAUCUAGCAGCACAUUGCAAUGUCACUGUGGCUGGUCUGACUUCUCCAACUCCCAAUUGCUUGAAUUCUAAUAAUGUCAUAAGAUUGAUGCUUGGUCCCAAAUAGGGAUGACAAUUGUACCCGCAAACCCCGCCAAACCCACCUGCCAAAACCCGCCCGUUGCGGGUAAUUUUACCCAUUGCGGGCGGGUUUUAGUAUUAUAAAUUAAACCCGCGCAUGGAUGUGGGGUGGGUUUUGGUAUUAACCUUAUAAUCCGGUGGAUACCCGCAUGGAUAUCCACCAAACCCGCAAUAUUUUUUUUCAAAUAUUUUUAAUUUAAUUUAAAUAUAAAAAUGUAUAAAGAAAAUAAUGUCAUUAAUCAAAUUACCAAAUAGACAAAGGCUCAAAGUUGUGUAUGUGUGUAUGUGGCCCAUCUCUUAUUCUAAAGUCAUAACCUAAAGAAAACUAAAGGCAUUUCCCUUCGAAUUAGUAUUUGAAAAAUAUUAAUCUUAAUUAUUAUUAUAGGCAUUGUGUUGGAUGGGUGCUUAUGGUGGUGAAAUGAAAUGAAUAUCUUCUCUUGGAUCUUGUUUUAAAAUGAUAAUAUGAAAUGUAAUUAUUAUUUUUAGAUACUAGUUUGUGUUUUUAAAAUGGAUUUGUGUAAUUUAUACUUAAAUUUGAGAAUUUGUAUUGAAUUGAUGUGGAAAUUUUAAUUUUUCAUUGACAUUGUUUAAAUAUAAAAUUGAGUAUGCUAUUUGGAAUUUGAGGUUAUUAUUAUAAAUUUAUAUAUUAAAUAUUUGUGAUUUUAAAUACGAAAACCCGCAAAAAUCUGCCGGAUACUAUUGCGGGUUGGUAAUUAUUAAAACCCGCUGCGGGUGGGUUUUAAAAAAAAAUUAAAACCCGCGGCGGGUUGCGGGUGGGUUUGGUAAUUUAAAUUUUGUGCGGGUUUGGGUUUGAUAAUGGCAAAUCCGCUGCGGGCGGUGCCCAUUGCCAUCCCUAGUCCCAAAUCACAAAGUGUCUUGCCACUGUAUUUAGUUCCUAUGGAACAACGAAUUGUGAAACUUCCUGGAUCAUUCAACUUCUGAGGCAUUUUACUCUGAAGCAUAUGGCUGAAUUCUUGUGUUAGACCAACUAUUUCAAAUUCUCCGAGCCUCAUUUUCCUUGCCAAUAUACAUUUCCAAAACUUUACAUAAUUUGGCAUUUGUUCUAAUGCUUCCACAAAAGGAAUGUUGAUAUGCAGUUAUUUCAAUACUUCCAAGAAUUUACUGAACUGCUUGUCUUGCUUUCGCUUUUGAAAUCUUCGUGGGAAGGAUGGUGAUGUGUAAAUUGUUGUACUGCAGCAGACUAUACAUAUUGCUUUUCUCUUGCUCUAUUAUGGUAUGUUAUUGUUGGUGCUGCAGCUUCUUCCUCAACAAGCACUGAAUCAUGUUUUUUUUGCAGUUGCUAUAACUUAGCAACUCUCACCAGUGUGCUGGAAAAUGGGUUGUUGUGUCUCUUCUUUAAUUUGAGUUUCCCCUUGGGUUGAAUUAGGUUCCACUCUUCUUUUUAGUACUUUAACAAGUAUAUGAACAUCCUUUCCAGACCUUAAGUUAAUCCCCUUACAAUGCUCUUUUCCUUCUCUUUCGAUCCUCUGUAUUGUUUAGUAAAUUGUCCUAAGGUAUGUUGCUCAAUGUUGUAGCAAGCUGUCCAAUCUUAUUCUCCAAGUUUCUUAAAAAUACAGCUUGGCUUUAGACCACUACUUCAAUCUUCACAAUAUACUCCUUAAUCAGAGUUUCAAUGGAACUAAAUUGAUCAUUACUGGUGUUUCUUUACCCUUAAAAUUUCUGGUGAAAAUCAGGUGGCUGAGCAAGUCAGUUCUGUCCACUGGAUGCUGCAGCAUGCUGAUUCUGAUUGCUCCUUUUAAAAUUUGGGUGAUGUCUCCAUCCUAGGUUAUAGGUGUUUGAAAAUGGAUUGCUUUGAUUUUGUUUAUUAAAAUUGCCCACAUAAUUGACGGAAGCUGAAUUCCUAGGACAAUUAUCAUAUAGAUGUCCCUCUCCAUAAUAAACACAAGAGACUUCAGCAAUUUGGUUAACUGUUGUUGGAGCAGUGGCCGUUGCUUUUACCAUAUUUUGUCAAUGAGGUUACUUGGGCUGAUAAUGUUGUCAGUGCAUCCACAUUGUGUACUCCUGCUGCUCCUCUCACUAUGGCUUGUCUAGUUGAUGGCCAUUGAUAGUUAUCCUUUCUAAAAUUUCAUAAGCCUCAUUAUAUGAGUUAGACAAUAAAGCCCCUAGUUAUUGAGUUCAACCCAUUGUAGAAAGUUUCCAAUUGUAUGCAAUAAGGAAUACCAUGAUGAGGGCAUCUCCUGAGUAACUCCUUGAAUCUUUCUCAUGCAUCAUACAAGCUUUCAUCUUCAAGUUGAUGGAAAGAUGUGAUCUCAUUCUUCAACUUUGCAUUCUUUGUUGGUGGGAAAUAUUUCAUCAAAAUUUUGUCAGCCAAAUAAUUUCAUGUGGUGAUGGAGUCUGGUUGUAAAGAACUCCACUGUACCAACUAAAAUUGAUUUCACAAAACACAAUAAGCACCAAUCCCUGGCAACGGCGCAAAAAACUUGUUGUCGAUUUUCUAAUGCUAUUAGUGUCAAUGUGAAAAUGUACACAACAAGUAAUAUAACGAUAAGUAUUCACUCCACAAGGAUUAUUAUUAGGAAUUGCUACAGUAAUUCUAUCAGUGCCAUUCUUAUUAUAAAUUAGAAUUUAAACAAAUUAUUCAACUAANAGAAAAUCUAGAUUUUAGUAAGGAAUAUCAAGUUAUUUAUACAAUGAAAAUUGUUAAAACUCGAUUAAUUGCAAGGAAACACUUUUAGAGAGAUAUGGAGAGAAUAAACUUUGAAGAUAACAAUGAAAUACAUGACACAUUUAAGGAAGAAAAUAUAAUAGUAUUAAUAGAAUCUAUUUUAACCGGUCUUAAGAUAAUUCAAGAUUGAUGCAAAAUAAAUAACAGGACUCUAAACCGUCCAUAAUAAGUCUAUUGAUUAAUAAUAACAAUAAUAGUGAUGUGAAAUUUUUAUUCAGAAUGCUCAAUUUAGAUUAUAAUAUCUAUGUGAAAGCAUUGAUGGCAUGUACCUUGGUUAGGAAAAUAGAUUGGACACAUGGAUAUAUAUGUUGGAAGAACAAAUCUAGUUUAUAUCUCAAGAGAGAUAAUAAAUUAUAAAUGACGGUGCUAUAGUAUAUUCAGAUUUUAUAAAUCUUAUAAAUUUAAUAAUCAUUUAGAUCUUCAUAAUAUUAUAAUAAAACUUUAAAAAACUUUAAAAAUAUAUGUAGAAGAGAUGGAAGAAGAAAUCAUCCAAUUAUUCAAAAUCAAUUAAACAAAAAUAGAAGGUAAAAUCCUUGAAUUAUAUAAAUUAUACAAUUUCACAGAAAUUUGCAUAUAUUGCGAAACGGUCCUUGUGGCACUAAUUAUGGGACUAGUGUAGCAUAAAUACUAAUAUUGCUUUUUAUUUUGUAAAUUAAUUGUUGCGUCAUAAUUUUUUUACAUACACAUUUUAUGUUUUAAAUAUGAUUUUUUUUUUGUAUUUAGGGUUAAUUUACAAUUUCAUACUUUGUUCAAUUAUAUGUACAGGUCCUUCACGUGUUGGUUGAUGUUGAAUAUUCAAAGAUCCACAAGCUAUCAACGACAACGAAUCAAAUUAAACUAAUUAGUUAAUACAUAAUGACUGGGUUGUUUCCUAUGUUGUUAAUGAUGUAUAACGUUAUUUUAGGAUUUUAGAAUUUUAAUUUUUAGGUCUUCUGAUAUUUUCUUUUUUAAUUAAAUUAGUGUCUUAGUUUUUUAUUUAUUUAUGUUAUAAUUAUAAUUUACUUUCUCUUUUUAAGUUAACUUAGGAAAAUAUAUUUACUGUAUUAUAAAUAAAGAGAUCUUGUUAUUACUUUAUAACUUCAACUUCAGUUAUUCAAUUAAAACCCCUCUUUUAUAAUUUCCUUUUGUAUUAUCUAUUUAAAACCCUCUUUUUAAAGUUGUUUGAUUAGAGCAUCAUCUAGCCUUGCUUAACGCAGUAUAAAAAAUCCCUUUGAGUUUAAUCACACGUCGAUUAGAGCGUAACUUAAUCGCAUUGACUUGGUCCAUGACUUGAACGAUAUCUAGUGUUUUGCUUCCGCUAUGCCCAAGGAGAAAAUUAAUUUCACCGUGAGAUAAGAGCAUUAAAAGGAAUUCAUAAGAAAUUUAAAUUAAAGCUAUAUAUGUUAAAUAUAUCGCUAGCUACUUGUUUUUGGAGGAAUUAAAACAAUUAAUAAGCUGCGAAGUGAAAAUGAAUAAAUAAAUGAAAUGAGGUUGAAAAUAAGUCUCGCCGCCUGGAUCCAAGGCCAAAACAUUCAUGAUAAGUUAGGUAAUUAAGUACAUGUUUUCAAGCUCUUCAUGAAGAAUAACGUUAUUGAAAUAAAUCACAAAGACUCCCUGCGCAAAUUAUUACAUUGAUUAAAAAAAAAAGCCAUAUCUUUAACAGGAUCGUGACUCUCGGACUGUUAAUUACUUUAUUCCCUGCUUGGCCAACAGCUGGCCACUAAACAAAAUCAUAAAAAUUUUAAAUUUAGUCAAAUUGGUCCCACUUGAUGACAUCCUUUUCAUACAUAAAAUUGUUAACGUCAAGGUUAAAUAUGAGAAGUUUGGUAGAGAAGGUAAAAAGGAAGUCUAUAUAAGGAGGGGAACGAGCUUUGUUUAUAGCACAAGUGAAACUCCACUUUAUUGAACGAUGGGGUCUCAAAUGGGCUGCCUCUUUGCCACUCUUUUGGUAGUAUCAGUCUCUCUUAGCUACUUGCCGUUAGAAGCCUCCGCAAACAAAUACUACUACACAUCUCCUCCCCCUCCCAAGUACAAGUCUCCACCACCACCCCGCCACCGGUUCACAAUUCUCCACCACCACCCCCGGUUUACCUGCCCCCGCCACCUCCUCCACCAGUCUACGUGCCUGCUCCGGCACCAACUCCAAUUUUCCCUUCUCCGCCACCUCCUGUCCCCAAGUCCCCACCACCACCUCACCCUUACGUCUAUGCAUCUCCCCCUCCUCCUUACUACUACUAGAAAGCGGCCAUGAAUAGCUCAUGCUUUUAUGGUAAUCUCAUUUAUUUUUAAAACUGUACAUGUAAAGACUAGUAGUUCAGAAUUACAUUAAGCAUUUCAAUUUUUAAGCACCGUGUUCUGUUUAAUUGCGUUCCUAUUGAUUAAGUGACAAAUAAAAGAGAUUGAUUAAUUUGUUCUUGUAGGAGAGGCGAAUGGUAUCCGAAUAAGAAAGCAAGGGUUUGAUGGAAGGCUUUACUUGGAGCAAGAUAGCGAUCAAUCGAGUUGCUGCGUUUUAUUCUCUUUUAUCUUUGUUUUUUAAGAAAAUAAACUGCCACACGUAGAAACAGAAAAUUAAGUUCUUGUCAUUUUCAUGCAUAUGGAUUGUUGCUGUGUGUGUCAAUCAAAUCUCCGUUGUGUCAUUUGUAAUUUUCAACCUUUAUGCAUGCAAAUGCGAGACCUCUUACGUAUAAUAAAAUUAAUAUACUUCCCAAGAUGGUCUUAUCUUGCGUUGACUUUUUACGUUCCUUUUGUGAUGAUUUUGACGUUUGAAAUUGAUGACUAAUUGACUAUUGUUUUUGUAAACUCUGACAUGGAUUUUUUCGUGCAACUACAGAGCGCAUUAACGAGAGACUUAUCCAUGAGGGUCCAUGCAGAUCAGUGUCUAAUUAACCAAUAAUUAAUAUAACUAAAAAAAUAUAGAGUUAACUUUUUUAUGGGUCAGGCUCAAUUGCAGAUGUUCGUACAAAAUUUCUUGCUAAUGUAUACUUGAGUAUGAUAAUAAGUUUUAAUCAUUAUUAAUAAUUCACUUGAUAAUAUUAAACAAAUUUUCAUAUCAAUUAAGUUACAAAAUUUCUGUGACAAAUUUCCGCGUACUGGAACCAUGCAAAAGGGCUUUAUUCAAACAAAACUGCAUAGCCGUUUGGCAAUUAAAAUUAUUUAUCAAUUAAGUUAAGUAGUAAGAAUUGGAUUGUGGAUUCCAUUAAUUAUUUCAAGGAAAAUUUUAUAGAUAAUGCCGUAAUGAAAUUUACGGCAUCAAUACCAUGAUAAAUAUAAAUAUUGUAAAUUACAAAUAGAAUUAGUAAAUGUAAAGUAAACCAGUAAAUUCAUAAAAGAUUAUUAAUUAUUUAAAAAAUUAACAUUGUUUCUACAUAAUUUUAGUGAAAAAUAUUUUAUUCAUUUACAAAAACAUUUCUUUAAUUAAACAAAAAAAUUCAUUAAUUAAGCAAAAAAAUUAUACUGAAAAAAAAGUGGAAUAAGUUUAAUUGAAUUGGUUAUCAUAAAUUCUAUAUUUAGUCUAGGACAUUUUUAUACAUUUUCUUCCCAUUUUCGAUAAUGAUAUCUAUUUGUUACACAUGUUAAUUAAGUGCAAUUAUUUAUCUUGAUGUGGAUCAAGUAAAAAAAUAUCAUAAAUAAGAUAUCAAUAAAAUUAGAUCUAAUUUUGAAUAUUAUGUAUACUUUAUGUAGUUUCAAACUUUUUACUUGUAUUUGGAGACCAUUUAAGGUUGUUGUUGAAGAAGUGUAGAAAGAUGUAAAAUAACUUCAUCUUACAACAACUAUGAAAGAUAUUAAAAUAAUAAUUUUUUCAAAAUCCGAUUUUGAGAAAAAAAUUCAUCCUUAAUUAAACAUCACAUGUAUUAUAGAAAUGCAAAACUACCAUUGUUAUAUUUAACUUAAAAAAUAAAAAUAUAUAAGGUAAUAAACAUUAUAAAGAGUUUUUAUUUUAAAAUUGUAAACUUUUGUUUCUGACAAUAACUCUUAUAUUAAUUUAUUUAUUUUGCCUUUUAUUCAUAAGUUUUAUGCAUAAUUUACAAACUUUAAGUUUUAUUUUGCAUUUUAUGUUGAUUUGGUUUUUUUAUAUUAUACGUACAAGUUUUUUUUUAUUUACCAGUAAUACAUCAAUUUAUCAGCUUGAUAGUAAUUUACUUAUUUUACCUUCCUUUUACAAUUCUUAUGUUUCAUUUCCAAAAUUUAUGUUUUAUUUUACAGUUGUUGAUGAUUUACUAGUUUUAUGUUAUGUUUGCAAGUUUUUGUUUUGUUUACUAGUAAUAGAUUAAUGGGUAAUUUUUAAUUGAGUCCUCAUUAGUUCUAGAAAAACAAUUCAGAGACCAGAAGUUUACUAAAUGAAUCAAUUAAAUUCUUUCAAGUACAAACUAAUGUCAUUCAAGUCCUUAACUUAAUUGGUCAGUUAAAAAUAUUAACAACGUUGAGGACAUUUUAGUAAAACAACAAUUGAGUCGUUUCUCAUUCUUUAUUUUUGACAGGUGGAAAUAGUUUAAAGUAAACUCACUUAACCUGAUUAAGUUAAGGAUCAGUUCUUUCAAAUGAAAAAAAAAAAAAAAACCUACAGAAACUGCCAUAUUCUUCGUGUGGGAGGAGAGAUCGAGAGAACGUGGGAUGGUGCAAAAAAUGUUGUAUAAAUCUACUGUGAUUUUGACCAAAGCUUUGGUAGCAUUGAUUGAGUUCAAGUACUGGAGAGAACCUGAGUUUAAAGGUUAGUAACUCUAUUUUUUUAGUGAUUUCUGCAAGCAUUUUCUGAUAAAAAAUUUUCCGUAUUGAGUGAUCGUUGUGAAAAAUUAAGUUUUUCAAGUCUAUUUUACAAAAUGACAAACUAUGUUUAAUUAUUGGUGGAUUCUUUUUUUUGUUCAAUGUUGUAUUUUGUUAAUUUGUUGUUUUUAAUUUGCUCUUAAUGUAAUUGUUAGACCAAAUACACCAUUAUUAUACCUGUAUUCAUUUCAACAAUUUGGUAUCGUUAUAUUAAUAAGAUUGAAUUCAUUGUAUUUGCUUCUUUGUUCAUGUAAAAUUGAAUUCUAUGUAUUCUUAUGAGUGAUAAUUUUUCUAUCUAUUAGACUAAAUUCACUAUAUUCACUACUUUCUUUCUUUUUGCUGGGCUAUUUUUUCUUUUUAGUUAUAUUUUUUAUAUGUAUUAGAUUGAAUUUGCUUUUGUACGUUUUUUUAGCCGAAUUACAUGUAUAUUUCAUUUAGGUUGAGUUUUUUUUGUUGUUUGCUAAAUAAAAUUAUAUUGGUUUAUCCCUUUUUUAUGCAAUACUUUUUGUUUAAAAUUAAUACAGUUAGCCAUGUUACCUUUUUUUUCGGUUAAAAUUAAUGGGGUGAUGUAGGCGAUAGGAUAUAGGGAACCAGAGGAAUAUAAGAUUAUUAGGCUGUUUCUUGAAAUUCAAGAUGUCAUGGUUAAGCAUGGACACAGUGAAAUGGAUUUGAUUGAAAUUUUUGUUGUAUUGCCAUGGACUACAAGUGGCCAGAGGAAGCUAAUUUCAAACGAUAGUGAAUUGUAUUGGGUUUUCGAGGAGUUUUUUUUAAUCAAUAGUUGUCCUGUCAUUGAGUUUGAGGUGCACACUGGGUCAGGUGGUCAGUCAUUUCAUGAAAGUGUUGUAAUAGGACCUGAAAAUCCUGUCAAUAUUAAAAAUUAGUGUUGUAAUAGUGAUAAGUUUGAAAAUGUUGUGGCUAAAAAGGUCUGCCUAGAAUAAUUGGUACUUCUUUAUUUGCCUCAAAGUCCAACACUAUGAAAUCCACAAGGAAAAAGAAUUUAUCCACUUUAACCAGCACGUCUUCAAUCUUGCCUUCAGGAUAAGCAUGAGAUCUGGCAGCACAUUGCAAUGUCACUGUGGUUGGUUUGACUUCUCCAACUCCCAAUUGCUUGAAUUCUGAUAAUGUCAUAAGAUUGAUGCUUGCUCCCAAACCACAAAGUGUCUUGCCACUGUAUUUAGUUCCUAUGGAACAAUGAAUUGUGAAACUUCCUGGAUCCUUCAACUUCUGAGGCAUUUUACUCUGAAGCAUAUGGCUGCAUUCUUGUGUUAGACCAACUAUUUCAAAUUCUCCGAGCCUCAUUUUCCUUGCCAAUAUACAUUUCCAAAACUUUACAUAAUUUGGCAUUUGUUCUAAUGCUUCCACAAAAGAAAUGUUGAUAUGCAGUUCUUUCCAUACUUCCAAGAAUUUACUGAACUGCAUGUCUUGCUUUCGCUUUUGAAAUCUUGUGGGAAGGGUGGUGGAAUGUGUAAAUUGUUGUACUGCAGCAGACUAUACAUAUUGCUUUUCUCUUGCUCUAUUAUGGUAUGUUAUUAUUGGUGUUGCAGCUUCUUCUCAACAAGCAUUGAAUCAUGUUUUUUGCAGUUGCUAUAACUUAGCAACUUCUCACCAGUGUGCUGGAAAAUGGGUUGUUGUGUCUCUUCUUUAAUUUGAGUUUCCCCUUGGUUGAAUUAGGUUCCACUCUUCUUUUGGUACUUUAACAAGUAUAUGAACAUCCUUUCCAAACCUUAAGUUAAUCCCUUACAAUGCUCUUUUCCUUCUCUCUUUCGAUCCUCUGUAUUGUUUAGUAAAUUGUCCUGAGGUAUGUUGCUCAAUUUUGUAGCAAGCUGUCCAAUCUUAUUCUCCAAGUUUCUUAAAAAUACAGCUUGGCUUUAGGACCACUACUCCAAUCUUUACAAUAUACUCCUUAAUCAGAGUUUCAAUGGAACUAAAUUGAUCAUUACUGGUGUUUCUUUACCCUUCAAAUUUCUGUUGAAAUCAGGUGGCUGAGCAGUCUGUUCUGUCCACUGGAUGCUGCAGCAUGCUGAUUCUGAUUGCUCCUUUUUAAAAUUUGGGUGAUGUCUCCAUCCUAGGUUAUAGGUGUUUUGAAAAUGGAUUGCUUUGAUUUUGUUUAUUAAAUUGCCCACAUAAUUGACGGAAGCUGAAUUCCUAGGACAAUUAUGAUAUAGAUGUCCCUCUCCAUAAUAAACACAGAGACUUCAGCAAUUUGGUUAACUGUUGCCGGAGCAGUGGCCGUUGCUUUUACCAUAUUUUGUCAAUGAGGUUACUUGGGCUGAUAAUGUUGUCAGUGCAUCCACAUUUGUGUACUCCUGCUGCUCCUCUCACUGUGGCUUGUCUAGUUGAUGGCCAUUGAUAGUUAUCCUUUUCUAAAAUUUCAUAAGCCUCAUUAUAUGAGUUAGACAAUAAAGCCCCUAGUUAUUGAGUUCAACCCAUUGUAGAAAGUUUCCAAUUGUAUGCAAUAAGGGAAUACCAUGAUGAGGGCAUCUCCUGAGUAACCCUUGAAUCUUUUCUCAUGCAUCAUACAAGCUUUCAUCUUCAAGUUGAUGGAAAGAUGUGAUCUCAUUCUUCAACUUUGCAUUCUUUGUUGGUGGGAAAUAUUUCAUCAAAAGUUUGUCAGCCAAAUAAUUCCAUGUGGUGAUGGAGUCUGGUUGCAAAGAACUCCACUGUACCAACUAAAAUUGAUUUUCACAAAACACAAUAAGCACCAAUCCCCGGCAACGGCGCAAAAAACUUGUUGUCGAUUUUCUAAUGCUAUUAGUGUCAAUGUGAAAAUGUACACAACAAGUAAUAUAACGAUAGUAUUCACUCCACAAGGAUUAUUAUUAUAGGAAUUGCUACAGUAAUUCUAUCAGUGCCAUUCUUAUUAUAAAUUAGAAUUUAAACAAUUAUUCAACUAAUGAACUAAGGCAGAUCUUAUUGGGCUAGUCGGCAAUGUGUUGCUUUAGGUCGUGUGGAAUAGUUGCGGGAGUGAUCUUGCAUGAUGUGUGGAGCUAUAACAGUGCUGAGCAUGGGCCAAUCUAUGGGCUCAUGGAACUAGCGAACCUAAUCUAGAAUUUCGAGGAAGAGUACUCUGGUUAGUACUCUAAAUUACCUUAUUAUAUUUUGCACAAACAGAGGCAUGUUAGUGAAAUAAUAUCUAAGCAACCCAAGAGGGGGGUGAAUUGGGUUUCUAAAAUUAUGCAAUUCUUAACAAAACUUAAUGCAAAUCUUAAACGAAUUUAAAGCAAUAAUACAUAAAUCAACAAGGUAUAAAAAGAUAAGGGAAGAGAGAUUAAAACACAGAGAGUUUUACGUGGUUCGGCCAACCUUGCCUACAUCCACACCCCAAGCACACCGAGCUUGGGCAUUCCACUAGUCAAGCCUUCAAGGCUUCAAGAACACUUACAAUUGACUUCUUAGGUGUCAAUCAACCUUUACAUCUAGAGAUUAUCCCCAAUCUCUUAACCCAAGUGUAUCCCAAUAUUUACAAUCACUCAAAUAAAGAUUACAAUUUAUUUUUCUCUCACACAAUUUUUUAAGAUUACAAAUCAACGCUUAAUGUGUGAAUAAAUGAACAAGAAUGAAUUUGAAGCUCAAUGAAUGUUGUAUUCUCGAUUAUAAGCUCAAUGAUAACGUUGUGAUAAGCUCUUGUUUGAAUUUGAUUGAUCUUAUUUAUAGUUGGAGUUGAAAAAUAGCCAUUGUUGACUUUUUCCCGAAAUUGGAUCGCCGUUAACCGUUAUCGGUUAACCGUUUUGACUGGUCAAGUGACCGUUGAGCUGAAUUUCAAAAUAAACGGUUGAUCUUUUGACACUAUCGGUUUGCUGUUAAUUUCCAUAAACCUGUAAAACAAAUUUAUGCUAUUCGUUCUUGCUAAACGGUUGAAGGUCAGCAUGGAAUGACAUUCUAGAAAUUAUUGGUUGGCCGUUUGAAGUUCACGGUUCACCGUUUACUUCUAGAAUCACAGUUUUAACCAAAUUUCGCAGGGAAUGCUUUUUCGGUUAAAGUUAACGAUUAUCCAUAUUUCAUGAACACAUUUAGAAAAAUCAUACGACUUUUGAGAAAUUGUUUAGUAAUGAAAACUCUAACAUUUUAAUCAAAUACAUUUAAAGUUUGUUAUCAUCAAAAUCAAUAUAAUGAACAUCUACAUGUUAACAGUUAGGCCUUGAUUAUUUUUUAAAUCUUAUAAGAUAUAGAGUGAUAAUAGUAACUCAAUUUUCAUAAAACGUGGAAAGAUCAGUCGCCAAAUUUAUAGAUGCCAUAGAAAACCUAGAUUUAGUAAGGAAUAUCAAGUUAUUUAUACAAUGAAAUUGUUAAAACUCGAUUAAUUGCAAGGAAACACUUUUAGAGAGAUAUGGAGAGAAUAAACUUUGAAGAUAACAAUGAAAUACAUGACACAUUUAAGGAAGAAAAUAUAAUAGUAUUAAUAGAAUCUAUUUUAACCGGUCUUAAGAUAAUUCAGAUUGAUGCAAAAUAAAUAACAGGACUCUAAACCGUCCAUAAUAAGUCUAUUGAUUAAUAAUAACAAUAAUAGUGAUGUGAAAUUUUUAUUCAGAAUGCUCAAUUUAGAUUAUAAUAUCUAUGUGAAAGCAUUGAUGGCAUGUACCUUGGUUAGGAAAAUAGAUUGGACACAUGGAUAUAUAUGUUGGAAGAACAAAUCUAGUUUAUAUCUCAAGAGAGAUAAUAAAUUAUAAAUGACGGUGCUAUAGUAUAUUCAGAUUUUAUAAAUCUUUAUAAAUUUAAUAAUCAUUUAGAUCUUCAUAAUAUUAUAAUAAAACUUUAAAAAACUUUAAAAAUAUAUGUAGAAGAGAUGGAAGAAGAAAUCAUCCAAUUAUUCAAAAUCAAUUAAACAAAAAUAGAAGGUAAAAUCCUUGAAUUAUAUAAAUUAUACAAUUUCACAGAAAUUUUGCAUAUAUUGCGAAACGGUCCUUGUGGCACUAAUUAUGGGACUAGUGUAGCAUAAAUACUAAUAUUGCUUUUUAUUUUGUAAAUUAAUUGUUGCGUCAUAAUUUUUUUACAUACACAUUUUAUGUUUUAAAAUAUGAUUUUUUUUUUGUAUUUAGGGUUAAUUUUACAAUUUCAUACUUUGUUCAAUUAUAUGUACAGGUCCUUCACGUGUUGGUUGAUGUUGAAUAUUCAAAGAUCCACAAGCUAUCAACGACAACGAAUCAAAUUAAACUAAUUAGUUAAUACAUAAUGACUGGGUUGUUUCCUAUGUUGUUAAUGAUGUAGAACGUUAUUUUAGGAUUUUAGAAUUUUAAUUUUUAGGUCUUCUGAUAUUUUCUUUUUUAAUUAAAGUUAGUGUCUUAGUUUUUUAUUUAUUUAUGUUAUAAUUAUAAUUUACUUUCUCUUUUUAAGUUAACUUAGGAAAAUAUAUUUACUGUAUUAUAAAUAAAGAGAUCUUGUUAUUACUUUAUAACUUCAACUUCAGUUAUUCAAUUAAAAACCCCUCUUUUAUAAUUUCCUUUUGUAUUAUCUAUUAAAAACCCCUCUUUUAAGUUGUUUGAUUAGAGCAUCAUCUAGCCUUGCUUAACGCAGUAUAAAAAAUCCCUUUGAGUUUAAUCACACGUCGAUUAGAGCGUAACUUAAUCGCAUUGACUUGGUCCAUGACUUGAACGAUAUCUAGUGUUUUGCUUCCGCUAUGCCCAAGGAGAAAAUUAAUUUCACCGUGAGAUAAGAGCAUUAAAAGGAAUUCAUAAGAAAUUUAAAUUAAAGCUAUAUAUGUUAAAUAUAUCGCUAGCUACUUGUUUUUGGAGGAAUUAAAACAAUUAAUAAGCUGCGAAGUGAAAAUGAAUAAAUAAAUGAAAUGAGGUUGAAAAUAAGUCUCGCCGCCUGGAUCCAAGGCCAAAACAUUCAUGAUAAGUUAGGUAAUUAAGUACAUGUUUUCAAGCUCUUCAUGAAGAAUAACGUUAUUGAAAUAAAUCACAAAGACUCCCUGCGCAAAUUAUUACAUUGAUUAAAAAAAAAAGCCAUAUCUUUAACAGGAUCGUGACUCUCGGACUGUUAAUUACUUUAUUCCCUGCUUGGCCAACAGCUGGCCACUAAACAAAAUCAUAAAAAUUUUAAAUUUAGUCAAAUUGGUCCCACUUGAUGACAUCCUUUUCAUACAUAAAAUUGUUAACGUCAAGGUUAAAUAUGAGAAGUUUGGUAGAGAAGGUAAAAAGGAAGUCUAUAUAAGGAGGGGAACGAGCUUUGUUUUAUAGCACAAGUGAAACUCCACUUUAUUGAACGAUGGGGUCUCAAAUGGGCUGCCUCUUUGCCACUCUUUUGGUAGUAUCAGUCUCUCUUAGCUACUUGCCGUUAGAAGCCUCCGCAAACAAAUACUACUACACAUCUCCUCCCCCUCCCAAGUACAAGUCUCCACCACCACCCCCGCCACCGGUUCACAAUUCUCCACCACCACCCCCGGUUUACCUGCCCCCGCCACCUCCUCCACCAGUCUACGUGCCUGCUCCGGCACCAACUCCAAUUUUCCCUUCUCCGCCACCUCCUGUCCCCAAGUCCCCACCACCACCUCACCCUUACGUCUAUGCAUCUCCCCCUCCUCCUUACUACUACUAGAAAGCGGCCAUGAAUAGCUCAUGCUUUUAUGGUAAUCUCAUUUAUUUUUAAAACUGUACAUGUAAAGACUAGUAGUUCAGAAUUACAUUAAGCAUUUCAAUUUUAAGCACCGUGUUCUGUUUAAUUGCGUUCCUAUUGAUUAAGUGACAAAUAAAAGAGAUUGAUUAAUUUGUUCUUGUAGGAGAGGCGAAUGGUAUCCGAAUAAAGAAAGCAAGGGUUUGAUGGAAGGCUUACUUGGAGCAAGAUAGCGAUCAAUCGAGUUGCUGCGUUUUAUUCUCUUUUAUCUUUGUUUUUUAAGAAAAAUAAACUGCCACACGUAGAAACAGAAAAUUAAGUUCUUGUCAUUUUCAUGCAUAUGGAUUGUUGCUGUGUGUGUCAAUCAAAUCUCCGUUGUGUCAUUUGUAAUUUUCAACCUUUAUGCAUGCAAAUGCGAGACCUCUUACGUAUAAUAAAAUUAAUAUACUUCCCAAGAUGGUCUUAUCUUGCGUUGACUUUUUACGUUCCUUUGGUGAUGAUUUUGACGUUUGAAAUUGAUGACUAAUUGACUAUUGUUUUUGUAAACUCUGACAUGGAUUUUUCGUGCAACUACAGAGCGCAUUAACGAGAGACUUAUCCAUGAGGGUCCAUGCAGAUCAGUGUCUAAUUAACCAAUAAUUAAUAUAACUAAAAAAAUAUAGAGUUAACUAUUUUUAUGGGUCAGGCUCAAUUGCAGAUGUUCGUACAAAAUUUCUUGCUAAUGUAUACUUGAGUAUGAUAAUAAGUUUUAAUCAUUAUUAAUAAUUCACUUGAUAAUAUUAAACAAAUUUUCAUAUCAAUUAAGUUACAAAAUUUCUGUGACAAAUUUCCGCGUACUGGAACCAUGCAAAAGGGCUUUAUUCAAACAAAACUGCAUAGCCGUUGGCAAUUAAAAUUAUUUAUCAAUUAAGUUAAGUAGUAAGAAUUGGAUUGUGGAUUCCAUUAAUUAUUUCAAGGAAAAUUUUAUAGAUAAUGCCGUAAUGAAAUUUACGGCAUCAAUACCAUGAUAAAUAUAAAUAUUGUAAAUUACAAAUAGAAUUAGUAAAUGUAAAGUAAAACCAGUAAAUUCAUAAAAGAUUAUUAAUUAUUUAAAAAAUUAACAUUGUUUCUACAUAAUUUUAGUGAAAAAUAUUUUAUUCAUUUACAAAAACAUUUCUUUAAUUAAACAAAAAAAUUCAUUAAUUAAGCAAAAAAAAUUAUACUGAAAAAAAAGUGGAAUAAGUUUAAUUGAAUUGGUUAUCAUAAAUUCUAUAUUUAGUCUAGGACAUUUUUUAUACAUUUUCUUCCCAUUUUCGAUAAUGAUAUCUAUUUGUUACACAUGUUAAUUAAGUGCAAUUAUUUAUCUUGAUGUGGAUCAAGUAAAAAAAUAUCAUAAAUAAGAUAUCAAUAAAAUUAGAUCUAAUUUUGAAUAUUAUGUAUACUUUAUGUAGUUUCAAACUUUUUACUUGUAUUUGGAGACCAUUUAAGGUUGUUGUUGAAGAAGUGUAGAAAGAUGUAAAAUAACUUCAUCUUACAACAACUAUGAAAGAUAUUAAAAUAAUAAUUUUUUUCAAAAUCCGAUUUUGAGAAAAAAAUUCAUCCUUAAUUAAACAUCACAUGUAUUAUAGAAAUGCAAAACUACCAUUGUUAUAUUUAACUUAAAAAAUAAUAAAUAUAUAAGGUAAUAAACAUUAUAAAGAGUUUUUAUUUUAAAAUUGUAAACUUUUGUUCUGACAAUAACUCUUAUAUUAAUUUAUUUAUUUUGCCUUUUAUUCAUAAGUUUUAUGCAUAAUUUACAAACUUUAAGUUUUAUUUUGCAUUUUAUGUUGAUUUGGUUUUUUUAUAUUAUACGUACAAGUUUUCUUUUUAUUUACCAGUAAUACAUCAAUUUAUCAGCUUGAUAGUAAUUUACUUAUUUUACCUUCCUUUUACAAUUCUUAUGUUUCAUUUCCAAAAUUUAUGUUUUAUUUUACAGUUGUUGAUGAUUUACUAGUUUUAUGUUAUGUUUGCAAGUUUUUGUUUUGUUUACUAGUAAUAGAUUAAUGGGUAAUUUUUAAUUGAGUCCUCAUUAGUUCUAGAAAAACAAUUCAGAGACCAGAAGUUUACUAAAUGAAUCAAUUAAAUUCUUUCAAGUACAAACUAAUGUCAUUCAAGUCCUUAACUUAAUUGGUCAGUUAAAAAUAUUAACAACGUUGAGGACAUUUUAGUAAAACAACAAUUGAGUCGUUUCUCAUUCUUUAUUUUUGACAGGUGGAAAUAGUUUAAAGUAAACUCACUUAACCUGAUUAAGUUAAGGAUCAGUUCUUUCAAAUGAAAAAAAAAAAAAAAACCUACAGAAACUGCCAUAUUCUUCGUGUGGGAGGAGAGAUCGAGAGAACGUGGGAUGGUGCAAAAAAUGUUGUAUAAAUCUACUGUGAUUUUGACCAAAGCUUUGGUAGCAUUGAUUGAGUUCAAGUACUGGAGAGAACCUGAGUUUAAAGGUUAGUAACUCUAUUUUUUUAGUGAUUUCUGCAAGCAUUUUCUGAUAAAAAAUUUUCCGUAUUGAGUGAUCGUUGUGAAAAAUUAAGUUUUUCAAGUCUAUUUUACAAAAUGACAAACUAUGUUUAAUUAUUGGUGGAUUCUUUUUUUGUUCAAUGUUGUAUUUUGUUAAUUUGUUGUUUUUAAUUUGCUCUUAAUGUAAUUGUUAGACCAAAUACACCAUUAUUAUACCUGUAUUCAUUUCAACAAUUUGGUAUCGUUAUAUUAAUAAGAUUGAAUUCAUUGUAUUUGCUUCUUUGUUCAUGUAAAAUUGAAUUCUAUGUAUUCUUAUGAGUGAUAAUUUUUCUAUCUAUUAGACUAAAUUCACUAUAUUCACUACUUUCUUUCUUUUUGCUGGGCUAUUUUUUCUUUUUAGUUUAUAUUUUUUAUAUGUAUUAGAUUGAAUUUGCUUUUGUACGUUUUUUUAGCCGAAUUACAUGUAUAUUUCAUUUAGGUUGAGUUUUUUUUGUUGUUUGCUAAAUAAAAUUAUAUUGGUUUAUCCCUUUUUAUGCAAUACUUUUUGUUUAAAAUUAAUACAGUUAGCCAUGUUACCUUUUUUUUCGGUUAAAAUUAAUGGGGUGAUGUAGGCGAUAGGAUAUAGGGAACCAGAGGAAUAUAAGAUUAUUAGGCUGUUUCUUGAAAUUCAAGAUGUCAUGGUUAAGCAUGGACACAGUGAAAUGGAUUUGAUUGAAAUUUUUGUUGUAUUGCCAUGGACUACAAGUGGCCAGAGGAAGCUAAUUUCAAACGAUAGUGAAUUGUAUUGGGUUUUCGAGGAGUUUUUUUUAAUCAAUAGUUGUCCUGUCAUUGAGUUUGAGGUGCACACUGGGUCAGGUGGUCAGUCAUUUCAUGAAAGUGUUGUAAUAGGACCUGAAAAUCCUGUCAAUAUUAAAAAUUAGUGUUGUAAUAGUGAUAAGUUUGAAAAUGUUGUGGCUAAAAAGGUCUGCCUAGAAUAAUUGGUACUUCUUUAUUUGCCUCAAAGUCCAACACUAUGAAAUCCACAAGGAAAAAGAAUUUAUCCACUUUAACCAGCACGUCUUCAAUCUUGCCUUCAGGAUAAGCAUGAGAUCUGGCAGCACAUUGCAAUGUCACUGUGGUUGGUUUGACUUCUCCAACUCCCAAUUGCUUGAAUUCUGAUAAUGUCAUAAGAUUGAUGCUUGCUCCCAAACCACAAAGUGUCUUGCCACUGUAUUUAGUUCCUAUGGAACAAUGAAUUGUGAAACUUCCUGGAUCCUUCAACUUCUGAGGCAUUUUACUCUGAAGCAUAUGGCUGCAUUCUUGUGUUAGACCAACUAUUUCAAAUUCUCCGAGCCUCAUUUUCCUUGCCAAUAUACAUUUCCAAAACUUUACAUAAUUUGGCAUUUGUUCUAAUGCUUCCACAAAAGAAAUGUUGAUAUGCAGUUCUUUCCAUACUUCCAAGAAUUUACUGAACUGCAUGUCUUGCUUUCGCUUUUGAAAUCUUUGUGGGAAGGGUGGUGGAUGUGUAAAUUGUUGUACUGCAGCAGACUAUACAUAUUGCUUUUCUCUUGCUCUAUUAUGGUAUGUUAUUAUUGGUGUUGCAGCUUCUUCCUCAACAAGCAUUGAAUCAUGUUUUUUUGCAGUUGCUAUAACUUAGCAACUCUCACCAGUGUGCUGGAAAAUGGGUUGUUGUGUCUCUUCUUUAAUUUGAGUUUCCCCUUGGGUUGAAUUAGGUUCCACUCUUCUUUUUGGUACUUUAACAAGUAUAUGAACAUCCUUUCCAAACCUUAAGUUAAUCCCCUUACAAUGCUCUUUUCCUUCUCUCUUUCGAUCCUCUGUAUUGUUUAGUAAAUUGUCCUGAGGUAUGUUGCUCAAUUUUGUAGCAAGCUGUCCAAUCUUAUUCUCCAAGUUUCUUAAAAAUACAGCUUGGCUUUAGACCACUACUCCAAUCUUUACAAUAUACUCCUUAAUCAGAGUUUCAAUGGAACUAAAUUGAUCAUUACUGGUGUUUCUUUACCCUUCAAAUUUCUGGUGAAAAUCAGGUGGCUGAGCAAGUCAGUUCUGUCCACUGGAUGCUGCAGCAUGCUGAUUCUGAUUGCUCCUUUUAAAAUUUGGGUGAUGUCUCCAUCCUAGGUUAUAGGUGUUUGAAAAUGGAUUGCUUUGAUUUUGUUUAUUAAAAUUGCCCACAUAAUUGACGGAAGCUGAAUUCCUAGGACAAUUAUGAUAUAGAUGUCCCUCUCCAUAAUAAACACAAGAGACUUCAGCAAUUUGGUUAACUGUUGCCGGAGCAGUGGCCGUUGCUUUUACCAUAUUUUGUCAAUGAGGUUACUUGGGCUGAUAAUGUUGUCAGUGCAUCCACAUUGUGUACUCCUGCUGCUCCUCUCACUGUGGCUUGUCUAGUUGAUGGCCAUUGAUAGUUAUCCUUUCUAAAAUUUCAUAAGCCUCAUUAUAUGAGUUAGACAAUAAAGCCCCUAGUUAUUGAGUUCAACCCAUUGUAGAAAGUUUCCAAUUGUAUGCAAUAAGGAAUACCAUGAUGAGGGCAUCUCCUGAGUAACCCCUUGAAUCUUUCUCAUGCAUCAUACAAGCUUUCAUCUUCAAGUUGAUGGAAAGAUGUGAUCUCAUUCUUCAACUUUGCAUUCUUUGUUGGUGGGAAAUAUUUCAUCAAAAGUUUGUCAGCCAAAUAAUUCCAUGUGGUGAUGGAGUCUGGUUGCAAAGAACUCCACUGUACCAACUAAAAUUGAUUUCACAAAACACAAUAAGCACCAAUCCCCGGCAACGGCGCAAAAAACUUGUUGUCGAUUUUCUAAUGCUAUUAGUGUCAAUGUGAAAAUGUACACAACAAGUAAUAUAACGAUAAGUAUUCACUCCACAAGGAUUAUUAUUAUAGGAAUUGCUACAGUAAUUCUAUCAGUGCCAUUCUUAUUAUAAAUUAGAAUUUAAACAAAAUUAUUCAACUAAUGAACUAAGUCAGAUCUUAUUGGGGCUAGUCGGCAAUGUGUUGCUUUAGGUCGUGUGGAAUAGUUGCGGGAGUGAUCUUGCAUGAUGUGUGGAGCUAUAACAGUGCUGAGCAUGGGCCAAUCUAUGGGCUCAUGGAACUAGCGAACCUAAUCUAGAAUUUCGAGGAAGAGUACUCUGGUUAGUACUCUAAUUACCUUAUUAUAUUUUGCACAAACAGAGGCAUGUUAGUGAAAUAAUAUCUAAGCAACCCAAGAGGGGGGUGAAUUGGGUUUCUAAAAAUUAUGCAAUUCUUAAACAAAACUUAAUGCAAAUCUUAAACGAAUUUAAAGCAAUAAUACAUAAAUCAACCAAGGUAUAAAAGAUAAGGGAAGAGAGAUUAAAACACAGAGAGUUUUACGUGGUUCGGCCAACCUUGCCUACAUCCACACCCCCAAGCACACCGAGCUUGGGCAUUCCACUAGUCAAGCCUUCAAGGCUUCAAGAACACUUACAAAUUGACUUCUUAGGUGUCAAUCAACCUUUACAUCUAGAGAUUAUCCCCAAUCUCUUAACCCAAGUGUAUCCCAAUAUUUACAAUCACUCAAAAUAAAGAUUACAAAUUUAUUUUUUCUCUCACACAAUUUUUUAAGAUUACAAAUCAACGCUUAAUGUGUGAAUAAAUGAACAAGAAUGAAUUUGAAGCUCAAUGAAUGUUGUAUUCUCGAUUAUAAGCUCAAUGAUAACGUUGUGAUAAGCUCUUGUUUUGAAUUUGAUUGAUCUUAUUUAUAGUUGGAGUUGAAAAAUAGCCAUUGUUGACUUUUUCCCGAAAUUGGAUCGCCGUUAACCGUUAUCGGUUAACCGUUUUGACUGGUCCAAGUGACCGUUGAGCUGAAUUUCAAAUAAACGGUUGAUCUUUUGACACUAUCGGUUUGCUGUUAAUUUCCAUAACCUGUAAAACAAAUUUAUGCUAUUCGUUCUUGCUAAACGGUUGAAGGUCAGCAUGGAAUGACAUUCUAGAAAUUAUUGGUUGGCCGUUUGAAGUUCACGGUUCACCGUUUACUUCUAGAAUCACAGUUUUAACCAAAUUUCGCAGGGAAUGCUUUUUCGGUUAAAGUUAACGAUUAUCCAUAUUUCAUGAACACAUUUAGAAAAAUCAUACGACUUUUGAGAAAUUGUUUAGUAAUGAAAACUCUAACAUUUUAAUCAAAUACAUUUAAAGUUUGUUAUCAUCAAAAUCAAUAUAAUGAACAUCUACAUGUUAACAGUUAGGCCUUGAUUAUUUUUUAAAUCUUAUAAGAUAUAGAGUGAUAAUAGUAACUCAUUUUCAUAAAACGUGGAAGAUCAGUCGCCAAAUUUAUAGAUGCCAUAGAAAAUCUAGAUUUUAGUAAGGAAUAUCAAGUUAUUUAUACAAUGAAAAUUGUUAAAACUCGAUUAAUUGCAAGGAAACACUUUUAGAGAGAUAUGGAGAGAAUAAACUUUGAAGAUAACAAUGAAAUACAUGAACACAUUUAAGGAAGAAAAUAUAAUAGUAUUAAUAGAAUCUAUUUUAACCGGUCUUAAGAUAAUUCAAGAUUGAUGCAAAAUAAAUAACAGGACUCUAAAACCGUCCAUAAUAAGUCUAUUGAUUAAUAAUAACAAUAAUAGUGAUGUGAAAUUUUUUAUUCAGAAUGCUCAAUUUAGAUUAUAAUAUCUAUGUGAAAGCAUUGAUGCAUGUACCUUGGUUAGGAAAUAGAUUGGACACAUGGAUAUAUAUGUUGGAAGAACAAAUCUAGUUUAUAUCUCAAGAGAGAUAAUAAAUUAUAAAUGACGGUGCUAUAGUAUAUUCAGAUUUUAUAAAUCUUUAUAAAUUUAAUAAUCAUUUAGAUCUUCAUAUAUUAUAAUAAAAACUUUAAAAAACUUUAAAAAUAUAUGUAGAAGAGAUGGAAGAAGAAAUCAUCCAAUUAUUCAAAAUCAAUUAAACAAAAAUAGAAGGUAAAAUCCUUGAAUUAUAUAAAUUAUACAAUUUCACAGAAAUUUUGCAUAUAUUGCGAAACGGUCCUUGUGCACUAAUUAUGGGACUAGUGUAGCAUAAAUACUAAUAUUGCUUUUUAUUUUUGUAAAUUAAUUGUUGCGUCAUAAUUUUUUACAUACACAUUUUAUGUUUUAAAAUAUGAUUUUUUUUUUGUAUUUAGGGUUAAUUUUACAAUUUCAUACUUUGUUCAAUUAUAUGUACAGGUCCUUCACGUGUUGGUUGAUGUUGAAUAUUCAAAGAUCCACAAGCUAUCAACGACAACGAAUCAAAUUAAACUAAUUAGUUAAUACAUAAUGACCUGGGUUGUUUCCUAUGUUGUUAAUGAUGUAGAACGUUAUUUUAGGAUUUUAGAAUUUUAAUUUUUAGGUCUUCUGAUAUUUUCUUUUUUAAUUAAAGUUAGUGUUUAGUUUUUUAUUUAUUUAUGUUAUAAUUAUAAUUUACUUUCUCUUUUUAAGUUAACUUAGGAAAUAUAUUUACUGUAUUAUAAAUAAAGAGAUCUUGUUAUUACUUUAUAACUUCAACUUCAGUUAUUCAAUUAAAAACCCUCUUUUAUAAUUUCCUUUUGUAUUAUCUAUUAAAAACCCCUCUUUUUAAAGUUGUUUGAUUAGAGCAUCAUCUAGCCUUGCUUAAAGCAGUAUAAAAAAUCCCUUUGAGUUUAAUCACACGUCGAUUAGAGCGUAACUUAAUCGCAUUGACUUGGUCCAUGACUUGAACGAUAUCUAGUGUUUUGCUUCCGCUAUGCCCAAGGAGAAAAUUAAUUUUCACCGUGAGAUAAGAGCAUUAAAGGAAUUCAUAAGAAAUUUAAUUAAAGCUAUAUAUGUUAAAUAUAUCGCUAGCUACUUGUUUUUGGAGGAAUUAAAACAAUUAAUAAGCUGCGAAGUGAAAAUGAAUAAAUAAAUGAAAUGAGGUUGAAAAUAAGUCUCGCCGCCUGGAUCCAAGGCCAAAACAUUCAUGAUAAGUUAGGUAAUUAAGUACAUGUUUCAAGCUCUUCAUGAAGAAUAACGUUAUUGAAAUAAAUCACAAAGACUCCCUGCGCAAAUUAUUACAUUGAUUAAAAAAAAAAGCCAUAUCUUUAACAGGAUCGUGACUCUCGGACUGUUAAUUACUUUAUUCCUGCUUGGCCAACAGCUGGCCACUAAACAAAAUCAUAAAAAUUUUUAAAUUUAGUCAAAUUGGUCCACUUGAUGACAUCCUUUUCAUACAUAAAAUUGUUAACGUCAAGGUUAAAUAUAGAAGUUUGGUAGAGAAGGUAAAAAGAAGUCUAUAUAAGGAGGGGAACGAGCUUUGUUAUAGCACAAGUGAAACUCCACUUUAUUGAACGAUGGGGUCUCAAAUGGGCUGCCUCUUUGCCACUCUUUGGUAGUAUCAGUCUCUCUUAGCUACUUGCCGUUAGAAGCCUCCGCAAACAAAUACUACUACACAUCUCCUCCCCCUCCAAGUACAAGUCUCCACCACCACCCCCGCCACCGGUUCACAAUUCUCACCACCACCCCCGUUUUACCUGCCCCCCGCCACCUCCUCCACCAGUCUACGUGCCUGCUCCGGCACCAACUCCAAUUUUCCCUUCUCCCACCUCCUGUCCCCAAGUCCCCACCACCACCUCACCCUUACGUCUAUGCAUCUCCCCUCCUCCUUACUACUACUAGAAAGCGGCCAUGAAUAGCUCAUGCUUUUAUGG